rnacentral:lncRNA from 12 species
AUGCUGUCUCUUUCUAAAAUAUUUCAAUUCACUUCUUGCCAGAGUUUAAAAUUGACACCCGGCAAGACCAACUUCUUUGAUUUACACAUUCAAGAUGCAAAGGAAUGUCUUGAACUCUCUAUAGAGACAAAAGAGGGACACAAAAUAUGGGAUGUUAAUAUAAAAUCAGAGGAAUUCAACACAAACAGUUCAGCAUCUGACUGGAGGCUAAAAACAAUUAAUAGAUCGGUGCUGAUUUUGCAGUGGUGGCGCCAGCUGAUAACAGCUAUUGAACUCUCAGCUGGGGGUCCUCUUAAAACGUCUCUUCAGCGAUCCAGAAGUCAUCAGUCCUCAGAGACUGACACAGCACAGAAGAAAGGAAGAUGCAAAAAGGGUGAAGGUGAAAAUAAUUUAUGAAAAUAGAUCAGUCU